GGGAAUGUGGCUUAGUGGUAAGAGUACUUGCCUUGCAUGCAUGAAGCCCUGGGUUUUAUUCCUCAGUACCA
rnacentral:tRNA from 1 species